CUCUGGCCCAGACAUGAAGAAGAACCUCAGUGUUCCAGUUCUCAGGGGAGUGAUUUGUUCCUCUGACACUCUUUCCAGCUCUGCUGGAAUUUUUCAAAUGAAGGCUUAAGUCUAUUACUUACAUGGUAUUUUCAUAUGACAAAUAUGACAUUUAUUCACAUUUAGCCAUACAGAAAGAUAAAUGAAGGCAAUCAAAUAUUCAGUGAUUACUGUAAGAUUACCAUAAAAGACCAUAUAAAAGGUAAGACAAGAACUGUGCAGGUUGAAUCCGAAUCCUUUUACCUAUCCACUAGAUAAUGUUCCAUAAUAACUUUAAUAUUUAUGGUUGGUGGUCAAAAUAUUUUAUUUUCAAGCAACAUUUUGAUACGGAACUUUGAUUAAGCUCUUUGUUUAGAAACUAAAAUACGUAUUUCAGACAGAUUCACCUCUCUAUAAAAGUUUGAUAUCAACAAGUUGGUAUUCCUGUAGACCAUGCAAGGUUCUGCUUUUUUUUUUAAAUGUCAUAUAAUAUUUCAUUUUCAUAAGCACUUGCAUAAAUUCAGUUAAGAGUUAACCAACAAAAAUAUACAAAUAUGAGGGAGGUUUUAUGAAGAACUACAACUUCAAAAGGAAUUGGUUUAGGAGUCAUGACCUUAUUUUUUGCAAUAACUUAUGCAUCAUGAACUUACGUAAUUGGCAGCAGAUAACAUAUCACACUCUCAGUUUUAUGUCCUUGGUUUGACAACAGUGUCAGUUGAAGUAUUUGCUAACUGCAGAACUAAUGAAGCCUCAUAGCUGAAAAUGUUUUCAUUCCAAAACUAGUGUUUGUACCAAAACACUUCCCCUUUAUUGUUCUUUUUCAACAGUACUAAAUUCAGUAUCAGAUAUGCAUAGUGGUAUACAACUAAUUUUGGACAUAAAAAAAAAUAUCUUUCUGAAUACUAUUUAUACUAGCAAAAUAGAAUUAUCUCAGAAAUAAAAACAUAUAUUUUUCUAAUUAAAUGUUAUCAGAAAGCACAAAACCACACACAUGUAAUGACCUUGGAGCUCUCAAUCUUUGUUAUCUUCUCAGCAGGAGUCAACGUCGAAAUAAAAUAUUGGGAAACAAGUGACUUGGAUUUUAAAACACUGUUGUAGAGUAGGUUUCAAUCUACUUCUUCCUUUUCCGAGAGACUGCAUUAAGCAGCAGCCAAGAGGCAAGGCUACACUGGUCCUCUGUGUUGAAACCGGACACCUGUACUAUACACUGGAAAGCAGGAGGUUCUUCAUUCUCCCAGUCCCUGCCUUUGCCUUCUGUGUCUUGGUGAGUGUGGCUGGAGCUCUUGCUGGGGAACACCAAGGUAAAAAUGCCAUUGAGUACCUCAGCUUUCUCCAUGUCCCAGGUCCUGUUUUGCAUCCACCCCACACUCUUACCAGGUUACACAACUUGCUAAAGUAGAGACAUCUGCAGGCCAACAUCCAUUGGAGAAAAGUAAAGGAUGGGAUGG